rnacentral:rRNA from 1 species
AUGCCCAACGGUUUCAUAAGCAUCGACUGUGGAUAUACUGCAAACCAGACCUACACAGAUAGCAGGACAGGCAUAUCAUAUGCAAGCGAUGAGGGUUACAUUGAUGCAGGACUGAUCCACCCUGUUGAUAAAAGUAAUCUGCAGACUGACCUUGCAGACCGAUACCUUAACCUUUGCUUCUUUCCCAGUGGAGAGCGUAACUGCUACACGCUGCGGUUCUUUACACUGGGUGGCAAGUACCUUGUCAGGGCUGCAUUUGGCUAUGGUGACUAUGAUAAACUAAACAAAAAUCCUACCUUUGAUCUCUAUUUUGGGGUCAAUUACUGGACAACAGUGACCAUUGUCAGUUCCAGUACAGCAUAUGUGUUUGAGAUAAUUGCCGUGUGCCCUGCCGACUUCCUACAAAUUUGCUUGGUGAAUAAAGGAUCGGGAACUCCUUUCAUCUCAGGGCUUGACUUGAGGUCACUGACAUCAGAUCUUUAUCUGGAGGCCAAUGUGACACAGUCUCUGGUUUUGCUCAGCUUUUUCCGUGAUACAGUUGGUUUUGGGCCCAACCGCUAUCACUUUGGGACAAACUAUCAACACAUUAGGUUCCCAGAUGACCCCUACGACCGUAUGUGGCAGAGGUAUGAAAACGUAGACGGCUGGACAGACGUACCCAACAAAUCCAAUGGGGAAAUAAAAAACUCCACAAACGACAACUAUGAUGCACCAUCUGCAGUGAUGCGUAGUGCAUCCACUCCAGUGAAUGACUCAAGGAUGGACUUAUCGUGGAGUUCAGAUUCUUCCAUGAAUGUUGGUGUUGACCCCAAGUUCUUUCUUGUACUCUACUUUGCCGAGUUGGAAGCAGUCCAAGAGUUAAGGCAAUUUGAUGUCUCUGUGGAUAACAACCCAUUAGCUUCUGCAUUCAGCCCAAAAUUCUUGCUGCCUACUGUUCUCUCAGGGAUUGUGCAAGGCUCAAACGAGCAUAGCGUCUCCCUUGUGGCAACAUCAAACUUGGCGCUUCAGCCUUUGAUCAACGCGAUGGAGAUAUACAUGGUGCGGCCAGUGAAUGAAUCUAACUCUUUAGAUGCCAACGCUAUGAUGACCAUCCAGGAGAAGUUCUCUGUGAAAAAAAAUUGGGUGGGUGAUCCAUGUGCCCCUAUAUCUUUUGCAUGGAAUGGCUUGAACUGUAGUUAUACUACCAACAGUCCUCCAAGAAUAACAGCCUUAAACAUGUCAUCCAGUGGAUUGGUUGGUGAAAUUGAUGCUUCUUUUGGUCAGCUAACACUGCUCCAACACUUGGAUCUAUCUCACAACAGUCUGUCUGGAUCAAUACCUGUUUUUCUUGGUCAAGUGCCAGCACUUCAAUUUCUGGACUUGUCGAGCAACAACCUCAGUGGAUCAAUUCCUUGGAGUCUGCUAGAAAAAACUCAGCGUGGGCUUUUGACUUUAAGGGUCGACAAUAACCCAGGCCUUUGUGGAAAUAAUACAUGCAAUCCGAUUCAGAAAAAGAGGAGGAACAAGACAAAACUACUUCAGAUUGUUAUUUCAGUAAUUGUUGCAGUAUCACUACUAGUUCUGGCUGUAUUUUUGUUUGUCAUUUGGGACAGAAGGAAGAAGAGGCCAGAUCUGGCUCAUUCAACUAAUACAUUUGAGAACCGGAGAUUCACUUACAAGGAACUUAAGCACAUCACAAAUAACUUCAAUAGUGUAAUUGGAAGGGGCGGGUUUGGCCUUGUCUAUGUUGGUUGUUUGGAGAAUGGUGCUUUGGUUGCUGUGAAGAUGCGGUCAGAAACAUCUUCACAAGGGAAUACAGAGUUUUUGGCCGAGGCUCAGCACCUGGCCAGGGUUCACCACAAGAACUUGGUCUCCUUGAUUGGCUAUUGCAAGGACAAGAAACAUUUAAGCCUUGUCUACGAGUACAUGGAUGAAGGAAACUUAGAGGACCGUCUCAGAGGUCAAGAAUCUCUUAAUUGGCUGCAGCGCCUUAAAAUUGCAUUGGACUCUGCUCACGGACUGGAGUACCUACACAAAUCUUGCAGCCCGCCAUUGAUCCACAGAGAUGUUAAGACCGGGAACAUCCUUCUUACCACAAAUCUCCAGGCCAAGUUAUCAGAUUUUGGGCUGACAAGGGCUUUCAGCAGUGAAAUGGUAACACACAUGACCACCCGACCUGCUGGUACCCUCGGAUACCUGGACCCGGAGUACUACGCCACCUCUCAUCUCAGCGAGAAGAGUGAUGUGUACAGCUUCGGCGUGGUCCUCCUGGUGCUCAUCACAGGCCAGCGAGCGAUCAUCACCAUUAGCGACACAGAGAGGAAUAAUAUCACUAUUUGGGCGCGCCACGGGCUGUCUGAAGGUGACAUUGACAGCGUGAUCGACCCGAGGAUAAGAGGGGACUGCGACAUCAACUCCGUGUGGAAGGUAGCGGAGCUGGCACUCCAAUGCACUCAGCACACGGGGCGGGACCGGCCAACGAUGACGGAGGUCGCGGAGGGGAUCAGCGAGAGCUUGCAGCUGGAGACCUCGUCGCGAUCCAUGAGGUGCAGCUCGAGUGGGACAGGCGGUUCAGCACUCGCUGACGGCGAGCCUGUUGGUGCGCUUGAGACGGAACUGAUUGGAGAAACAUCAGCGCGUUGA